GACAAACGCUGGCGGCGUGCUUAACACAUGCAAGUCGAACGAAGUGGCGAACGUGUGAGUAACGCGUAAUCAACCUGCCCUUCAGAGGGGUACAACAGUUGGAAACGACUGCUAAUACCGCAUACUGAAGGAGGGGAUUGCGUCUGAUUGGCUAGUUGGAGGGGUAACGGCCGACCAGGGCGAUGAUCAGUAGCCGGUCUGAGGGGAUGAACGGCCACAUUGGGACUGAGACACGGCCCAGACUCCUACGGGAGGCAGCAGUGGGGAAUCUGCCGAAAUGGACGAAAGUCUGACGGAGCAACGCCGCGUGAGUGAUGACGGCCUUCGGGUUGUAAAGCUCUGUUAAUCGGGACGCGGUACCGGAAUAGAAAGCCACGGCUAACUACGUGCCAGCAGCCGCGGUAAUUC
rnacentral:rRNA from 1 species